rnacentral:rRNA from 1 species
GAUGAACGCUGGCGGCGUGCCUAAUACAUGCAAGUCGAGCGAACGGACGAGAAGCUUGCUUUUCUGAUGUUAGCGGCGGACGGGUGAGUAACACGUGGAUAACCUACCUAUAAGACUGGGAUAACUUCGGGAAACCGGAGCUAAUACCGGAUAAUAUUUUGAACCGCACGGUUCAAAAGUGAAAGACGGUCUUGCUGUCACUUAUAGAUGGAUUCGCGCUGCAUUAGCUAGUUGGUAAGGUAACGGCUUACCAAGGCAACGAUGCAUAGCCGACCUGAGAGGGUGAUCGGCCACACUGGAACUGAGACACGGUCCAGACUCCUACGGGAGGCAGCAGUAGGGAAUCUUCCGCAAUGGGCGAAAGCCUGACGGAGCAACGCCGCGUGAGUGAUGAAGGUCUUCGGAUCGUAAAACUCUGUUAUUAGGGAAGAACAUAUGUGUAAGUAACUGUGCACAUCUUGACGGUACCUAAUCAGAAAGCCACGGCUAACUACGUG